GAUGACUGUCGGUAUCGUUAGCUAUCGACAAUCGUCGCUUGCGCUAUCGAUAAUCGUUACGGCGGGUGAUUCUAUAACUUGGCUUUAACGAUUAUAUUCGAUGCAAAUAUCGUUACAGACGUAUCGAAAUAAUUCGAUAGCUGUGCAACGUUACCAGAUUUUAAAUAGUAAAAAUUUAGUAACUUUGGAGGUUGUGCCUAGUUUUAUGAACACCGAACAAGAAAUUUAACCUAAUCAUCUGUAUUUGAUAAAUCAAAAAAAACAAGGACUACAAGGGCAUCGCAAGUCCAAUUAA